rnacentral:rRNA from 1 species
UACGGAGGAUGCGAGCGUUAUCCGGAUUUAUUGGGUUUAAAGGGUGCGUAGGCGGACUGUCAAGUCAGCGGUAAAAUUGAGAGGCUCAACCUCUUCCCGCCGUUGAAACUGGUGGUCUUGGGUGGAUGAGAAGUACGCGGAAUGCGUGGUGUAGCGGUGAAAUGCAUAGAUAUCACGCAGAACUCCGAUUGCGAAGGCAGCGUACCGGCAUCCAACUGACGCUGAGGCACGAAAGCGUGGGGAUCAAACAGG